rnacentral:rRNA from 1 species
GACGAACGCUGGCGGCGUGCUUAACACAUGCAAGUCGAACGGUAAGGCCUUUCGGGGUACACGAGUGGCGAAAGGGUGAGUAACACGUGGUUGAUCUGCCCUGCACUUCGGGAUAAGCCCGGGAAACUGGGUCUAAUACCGGAUAGGACUGCGCGGUGCAUGCCGUGUGGUGGAAAGAUUUAUCGGUGCAGGAUGGGCCCGCGGCCUAUCAGCUUGUUGGUGGGGUAAUGGCCUACCAAGGCGACGACGGGUAGCCGGCCUGAGAGGGCGACCGGCCACACUGGGACUGAGACACGGCCCAGACUCCUACGGGAGGCAGCAGUGGGGAAUAUUGCACAAUGGGCGCAAGCCUGAUGCAGCGACGCCGCGUGAGGGAUGACGGCCUUCGGGUUGUAAACCUCUUUCAGCAGGGACGAAGCGUGAGUGACGGUACCUGCAGAAGAAGCACCGGCCAACUACGUG